rnacentral:rRNA from 1 species
GACGAACGCUGGCGGCGUGCCUAAUACAUGCAAGUAGAACGCUGAAGGAGGAGCUUGCUUCUCUGGAUGAGUUGCGAACGGGUGAGUAACGCGUAGGUAACCUGCCUGGUAGCGGGGGAUAACUACUGGAAACGAUAGCUAAUACCGCAUAAUAGCAGUUGUUGCAUGACAACUGUUUGAAAGGUGCAAUUGCACCACUACCAGAUGGACCUGCGUUGUAUUAGCUAGUUGGUGGGGUAACGGCUCACCAAGGCGACGAUACAUAGCCGACCUGAGAGGGUGACCGGCCACACUGGGACUGAGACACGGCUCAGACUCCUACGGGAGGCAGCAGUAGGGAAUCUUCGGCAAUGGACGGAAGUCUGACCGAGCAACGCCGCGUGAGUGAAGAAGGUUUUCGGAUCGUAAAGCUCUGUUGUAAGAGAAGAACGAGUGUGAGAGUGGAAAGUUCACACUGUGACGGUAUCUUACCAGAAAGGGACGGCUAACUACGUACC